CAGCUGGAUGCAAAACGUUGAAUACUAAAAUAAAAAAUAACAUUGCUCCUGGGAAAUCCUACUACAACGACCCCCCCUUGCCUUCUUGCACCACCUCGGCUCCGUUCCCUGUAGUGCACGCCAAGCAAAUUGGGGAGAAAAGAAAUGUGCUUUGGCUCUAGGAGGAUUUGGAGAUGACAGUCCCCAUUCGCCUGGUGCGCUGGGAAAACCCACGGUGCAGCUCCCUGCUGGGGGCUGCUCAGCUUCGGCGCGAGCAACCGGUGGCUCUAAUUUCCCUUCCUGCCCUCCGAGGCUGAAUAGCAUUUCAUUAAAAAUAACAGAAGAGACAACUAGACUCUCUCUGGGAAAAGAAAUAAUCCUGGGGAAAACAAAAGGGGUGCUGAAGGAGAUUUUCUGGAGAAAUGGGGCUUGGCGAGGGGCUCCCCUGCGAAUUGAUUUCCCUGCACGGUGCCACCUUGCACACGGCAUUUCCCAAGCACCAGGAGGCUUCGGUGCUCCUGGUUUUCUCAAGCGUUUCCCAAGGUUUCUCUCUUCCAGCCUUGUUUUUUGAGAGGUUGAGGGUUGCUUUGUUUCUGUCGCUAGUUUUCGAGCCCAACUCCUAACCUUCCUCCUGCCACGAGCAGCCCUUCCCUGCGUUUUGGCUGCAGAGCGCGUGAUUUUUCUCAAAGCGAAGCUUUCAUUUUUACCUGCAAAUCCUCCUGUAGGAAAGCAGAGCACGUGCAGGCUGCUGAUGCAACCCCAGUGCCUCGUAACCCCAAAGCCGAGGGUAGGAAGUCAUCGCUGCCUGCGCGGGUGAUGCUGGUGGAUGCAUCCCCCGUGGAGGGGAUGGUUUGCGUCGUGCAGCAACUUCCUUCAGAGCAGGACGGAGAUUAACAGCUCCUUUCUGCUGGGCUCAGCAGACGGCUGCUGAAGGGCAAUGACACCGCUUUGCCAGGGCAGAUCUGAAAUGAUAAAUUGGAGAUGAAAGGGUUCACGUCCCAGCAACGUUUUAGUGGGUCGUGCCCCAUAUUUAUGUCUCGGUCCUCUCGUUGGAAGAAGGCAAUACAAACACGAUGCGAUUUAUUGGCACAAAAGCUGCGUGGUUUGCAGCCAUCAGGGUUUUUUGCCCGGCUAUCAGAGCGGGGCAGUGCUGAAUGAAAUUAAAGCGAUCAGUAAAAUGCUGCAAUGCCUCUGGCUGGGGCUGAGAUUUUUGCAUUCCUUUGAAAAGGAUGGAAAAAAAAAAUCUGAGUGCAAAAGGCCCUCAGUGCUAUUUUAGUCUGGACAGAGGAGAGGCUGAAAUCUUUACAGCUUGCUGCUUGGAAAUUCAAGCUGUAAGAAGAGGAAAGAACCUCUUAGCAGUGAACCUCAGAGGUUCAAAGCCCUGACUUGGCCCCGAAAGAGCAGCUCUGCGUGCGCUCCACGGGCUGCUGCAUUGCGAUGGGGAGCUCGGGAGUGGGCUCUGAGCCAGGGUGGUUGGAGGCAAGAACCUGAAGUGUGAAAUCAGCUGGAAGAAAGGCCGUGCUUUGCUUUCGGGGAUGCAUUCCCACGCGUGCCCCUUCCAGCUCCAUCCCCAGGGAUUUCUCCCUCCUGGGUGUUUCACGAUGCCCGGCUCGCUGCCUCGCGCGCCGAGCAUCCAGCAGCUGCCAGGAGCUCGUUGUCUGGGAGGAAACCUUGCAGUUAUCCUUCAUCACUUCGGCCUUAAUUUCAUGUUUCUACUCCAUCAGUUGAUGAAUGAGAUCAGGCAACGCCGGCCGUCGUCAGCCCAGCUGUGCAAAAUGGGCGACGUGGGGCCGUUUUGGGUUGCUUUUCCCCUUCUCUCAUGUCAGCUGGUGUUUAAGUCGCAGUGGCUGCUGGCAAGAGAUUUAUGCAGAAACCUUUCUUUGUAUCUUAAAAACGCUGGAAAUGUCUGAUGUUAGCAGGGAGAAAAGGUGACCCGUGUGUGUCUGAUGGCAGAGGAAGGAGAUGUCCCUGAAAGGCCCUUAAAUCUACUCUGAAUGCACCAGGUCAACGUGGGAGGCAGGUGGCUCAGUUUCUCAGCUGCUUCUUUUGAAGGCAGAGCUUUGCGUUUCCGGCCAGCGGCGGCCUCCAAAAUCUCAUCUUCAGGUCCUCGGCUCUUCUCUAGGUCGGAGCUGAGCCCUCCCUGCGCCUGUCCGGGCUCUUGUGCCUUUGUGCAUUCCCAGGCUGGCUGCAGAGCGGAGCUGAGCCCUGCCUGGGAGGUGUGGGAUGAUGCUAUGGUGAAUA